rnacentral:rRNA from 1 species
UGGGGAAUUUUGGACAAUGGGCGAAAGCCUGAUCCAGCCAUGCCGCGUGAGUGAAGAAGGCCUUCGGGUUGUAAAGCUCUUUUAGUCGGAAAGAAAGAGUCGCAAUGAAUAAUUGUGAUUUAUGACGGUACCGACAGAAAAAGCACCGGCUAACUACGUGCCAGCAGCCGCGGUAAUACGUAGGGUGCGAGCGUUAAUCGGAAUUACUGGGCGUAAAGGGUGCGCAGGCGGUUUUGCAAGUCAGAUGUGAAAGCCCCGGGCUUAACCUGGGAAUUGCGUUUGAAACUACAAGGCUAGAGUGCAGCAGAGGGGAGUGGAAUUCCAUGUGUAGCAGUGAAAUGCGUAGAGAUGUGGAAGAACACCGAUGGCGAAGGCAGCUCCCGUGGGUUGACCACUGACGCU